rnacentral:rRNA from 1 species
GAUGAACGCUGGCGGCGUGCCUAACACAUGCAAGUCGAGCGAUCUUCUUCGGAAGAGAGCGGCGGACGGGUGAGUAACGCGUGGGUAACCUGCCCUGUACACACGGAUAACAUACCGAAAGGUAUGCUAAUACGAGAUAAUAUGCUUUUGUCGCAUGGUAGAAGUAUCAAAGAUUUUGCGGUACAGGAUGGACCCGCGUCUGAUUAGCUAGUUGGUAAGGUAACGGCUUACCAAGGCGACGAUCAGUAGCCGACCUGAGAGGGUGAUCGGCCACAUUGGAACUGAGACACGGUCCAAACUCCUACGUGAGGCAGCAGUGGGGAAUAUUGCACAAUGGGCGAAAGCCUGAGGCUGCAACGCCGCGUGAGCGAUGCAGGCCUUCGGGUCGUAAAGCUCUGUCCUCAAGGAAGAUAAUGACGGUACUUGAGGAGGAAGCCCCGGCUAACUACGUGCCAGCCGCCGCCGUAA